rnacentral:miRNA from 1 species
GACGGAAUUAGAGAGGGAUUUCAU